GCCUGACUAGCUCAGUCAGUAGAGCAUGUGAUUCUUAAUCUCAGGGUUGUGGGUUUGAGCCCCAUGUUGGGUG
rnacentral:tRNA from 1 species